CCGUUUACCGCACCCGCUGAGGGUCUGCUCCUGCCGCUGGGCCUUCCGCAGGGGCCGAGUUCUCCCGGUCAGACCCCUUUCCCCAGAGCCUGUCCAGCGCCGCUCCCGCUGUGCCGGGUCGGUGGGUGAGACACGAGGGGACUGGGUCCCGGUGCUCCCAGGUCCGUGUGAGGCCCGUCCCUGCCGAGCGCGGCACCGCGCUGCUGCCAGGAGCCCCAUCCUGGGCCGGGAGUGGGAAGGAGGUGUGGGCUUGGCAGGACAGACCCGUAAAGGGCACAUGGAAUCGCGGCAGGAGCCCGGCAGCUGCGGCGGAGCCCAGUAGGGUGGACAUGCUGCUGGGCCACGCAGAUGACAAACAUCCAGCCCUUUUGCAAGCCUGAGCCUUGGAAAGGCAGAUGGGCAUUGCGGUGAGCACCACGCAAACCUUGAUGAGAACGUGCUGACAGGAGUGAAAAGAGUGUAAAAGUAAUAAACAUUGCUGCUGUUGGAAACACUUUCGGUUUUGAGAAGAGUGUUUCCCAAAGGUGAUCAAAGCCUGCAUUCCUUUGUCCCCUUUUUGAGCAGCAUGCUCCAGCUUGAAUCCCUGCCUCAAGUGUGUGGACCUCUUUCAUGCUUUUUCCUGGUCUCUGGGAUCAGCACUAUCUCACAGAAUUAGAAAUAAGAUGAGAAGGCACCUUGGUAUGUUUUUUGGAAAGGGUCAAGUAGGACAGGGGUGGUGGUAGGGAGGUUUUCUCUUCCACAGAUCAGGAGCAUCUCCUGGGGGAGAAGGACAUACCCUCUCCCAGGAGCUUGCUGCCUAUGGCAGACUCCACUGAGCGCUCCACCCUGUUCCUUUCCACUACAAGGUCUCAUAUGAAGCCUCAGGCCCUUCUCACAGUGUCAGUUACGGUGUCCCAGCUGCACAGCCUAAUUGGAAAUCAAGUGGCAGCAGCUUUCCGAGUGGCUCCUGCUUGGGUCACACAUACUCGCUUUACUGAUCAUUUGGAACAGCUCAUGCAGACGUAGCCACCAGCACAGGACGGACACAUAUUUAUGUCGGCAGUCAUAAAAAUCUGUUGGUAAAGCAGUAUGUGAGAAUAGCAUAGGAAGAGCGAGGUGCUUGCUUCUCAGAAAUCAAGAGGAAGUUACGAAUGUCUUUGUGUUCUUGUUGAGUGACUGGCCAGGACCAGGUUGAUACGGUACCAGAGAAAAGAGCAUCAAGUUCUUCUGCAGGUGCUCUGCCUUCUGCCUUGUGCCUCCUGGUCUUGCCUGCAUGCCUCUCUCUGUCUUCUUGAGGCACUUCUGGGAUAGCUUCCCAGCAUGUUCCUUGUCUUCCUUCUGCUCUGCAGUGAUGAAGUGACUGGAGACCUUGAGAGUGUGAUAAAGUGACCAGAACAGGGGGGUUAUUUCUGCAUCUUCAAAACUAUGAUCCUGUGUUUUGACUCACUGUCAGAAAGGUGCUAAUUUAAGCUCCAUAUGAGAAAGUUGAUUUUUUAAGGCAGUUCUAGUGCCUUCCAUUUACUCCAAGAUCUAAUAAAUUUCACUCACGUUCCCAUGGAAUAUUGCUGGAACACUUGUGGAGAGAGCUAAAAUAAAGCAAAGCCAGCAGUAUCUGGUAGAACAAAGCUCACCAGAAUUUGCUAGCUGUGUCAGGAAGCAAGAUGGAUGAUGCUGAAACCAGCGUGCUUUGCCCUGGGUGCAUGAAGGCAGUUGGCUACCCAGUCUGCUGGGAACACUGGCUAAACACAGGUCCUCCCAGGCUGGAGGUUCUUCCUCAAGAUGGAUAACCUUAUCUAGCAUGGAAAGUUUUUGUAGUUCUUCUCUGGUCAGUUAUCCAAACAGGACAAAAUUGAGCUGAUGUCAAAACAAAGAAUACACUGGGCUGUGAUAAAAGCUGCUCUUCUGCACAACUUCCUAGCUUGCAAAACCUGCCUGGUUUUGCAUAAUAAAUAAGCCCCAGGAAGUAUAAAGUUAGUGGGAGUGCUUGUAGUGUGGCCAAGGUACAGUUUUACAGUCGUUUAAAGGUCAGCAGCAAAUUGACAUAUACACCCAGUCCUGCAGGAUAAGGCUCUGUGGGGACAAACCUCUCAGGUGAAUGUCUGCAUGAUUUGCCUCUGGCCAUAUGGAAAAUGUGAGGCCUAAGAAGGGGCUGAGAUCCCACCGGGUCACUUGCAAGCCAGGGCCAGAGUUACCAAAUCAACCUUUCUCAGCAUUUAUUAGGGCAGGCUUUGAAACUUACGUGCUGAGGAAAGCUUUUUGAUGCAAAAACUCCAGACCCAUGGCCUCACAGGGCAGAAAAACUGUCACCAGAGCUGGUUACAGCUCACGCCUGCAAAUGCAAAAAAGUUGUAUGGAGACAACAGUGCACAGGGAGACUUGCUAGGCCAUGGAUUAAGAUGCCAAGUUUCGGGGAAGAUGGUUUGCACAAGGAAAGCUCAGAACUCAAAAGCAGAGAUUGGGUGCUCUUCUAAGGACAACAGGUGGAGGGAUGAGAUUUGGGGAAAAAACCUAAACCCCCAAAACCUACUGUAGGAAAGGUUCCACCUCUGUGAAAAGAAGAAGGAAGGAGGGUAAUAAAAGAAGUGUGAA